rnacentral:lncRNA from 1 species
CACAUCCCUGUGCACGUGGGGGGACUCAGCACGAGCCGCCAGCCUCCCGCCAGCCUCCCAGCCUCCGUGGGGACAGCCUUCCCCCAGUGGAGACAUCAGAGGCUACUCAGAGCGGCCAUUCCCCAGCGGCUGGGGAAGCCCUGGGAGCCAGCAGGGCCCCAGGCUCACUGCCCACCUGGCGUCCACAGUGGUGGCCCAGCUGGGACCUUCGGGACCGCUCAGCCAAGCUCCAAAGCAAACACAAGCACCCGAAUGCCGUCCUUCUGCGUGAAAUUAGAAAAGGAGCCCGAGCCGGUGGACGUCAGGUGGAGGGACCCGGAGCUGGAGGACAUCAGGUGGUGGGACCCGGAGCCGGUGGACGUCAGGUGGAGGGACCCGGAGCUGGUGGACAUCAGGUGGAGGGAUCCUUGGACAUCAGGUGGAGGGACCCAGAGCUGGUGCGUCCCCUACGGCGCUGGGGUCCUGGAAGCUCUUCACACGGGAGGCUGCAGCUGUCUCCUGCCCUGAAUCUGGGGGCUUGGCCCCCCCCAGAGUGCAGGGGGAUGGUGUGAGGCAGAGGGGCCCUCAGCCCCCCACAGGGCCCUCUCGGGGCACUGGACGUGCAGCUUGGGACACUCGCCCAGCCCUGGCUGGAGACCCUGCUCCCCGCCCGCCGCGGGGGGCUGCCCCGCUCCUCUUCUAGCCCCUCCUGAGCCCCUCCCCUGGCCUCUGCAGGUGCAGGGCAGAGCGGAAGUGUGGAGAGGCCGGGGCUGGAGGCAUCCUGAUAGGGGACUCGGGGACAGGCUGCCUCACAAGGCCAUGCCUCCUUCCCACCAUGACCUGCGGAGUGGGUCCCUGGCUUUCUUCCUCCUCUGGCCUUGGUGACAGCAGGUGGGUCUGGCCCUUAGGCAGUUCCACUUUAUGGCCACUUAUAGGAGAAUGUGGGACAGGUGACCUGGGACAUGUUUUUGGCACAUGCCACCUUUGGUCAGCGCUAUGCUGGCGCAUGCUUGGCUGAUGGAUUUCCCUGUUCUUUGCUGCGUUGUACUCCACGGCAAGGGCGUCCCUGACUGGCCUACGCAUCCCACCACUGAUGGACAUGGGGACAGGGCAGCGGGAACUCAGGGGUCCAUGCUUCCCACACACACUUCCUGGUUAGAUUGGGAGCGCCCAGUGGCGGGCAGCCUGGGGUGGGGAGAGGGUGCUCGGCCUCAGAGAAUCUGCAGGCUGCUGGCCUCGGAGCCCUUCUGGAGCAGCCCUGUGAUGCCUGGAGCCUGCCGGCCCUGAACACGGCUUUCUCUACAUGGUCGUGAGACUCUGGAGACAGGAGAGCCAGGGCCAGGAAGGCUGGUGAGAGGCUGCGGUGGGGAGUGGGCUGCCCGCGGCCUGUGCGGCUCCUUGCUUCUGUCCUGCUCCUCGCGGGCUGCUCUUGGCCUGAGUCAGCUCCGCCCCCUCCCGCCUGCAAGGAGACCCUGACCCCCAGGGGGACCUCUCGGGCGGCUGGCGGGGGUCCCGGACGACGGAGGACUCUGAGGCUGCGCAGGCGGCCCCCUCGCUGAGUGCUGGUGCCAGUGCCCGCCGUGCACCUGGGAGACGAGGCCCAGCUGACUGUCUCAAAGCCAACCAGCCAGGGAGUGGCAGAGCUGUGGAGUUCCGUCUCGCAGACCAGAGCAAGGUCACUGCGCUGUGACGGUGACCCGGGCUCUUGGCAAGGGCCCUGGAGGUCGCUGCCCCAGCUUCCCCUGGCCCGGAGGUGGCACUGCUGCCCUCCCCAGCGACUGCCUCGGGGUGCCAGCAGCUGGGCCUCCCCUGGGACCUCUGCCUCUGAGCCCUUGCAAUGACGGUGGUGCCACCGUAGUGACCACAGCGUGGUGACCGCAGCCGCACUCAGGACCCGCCAUUUUCCCAAGUGACUGCUGAGCACAGGUGCCAUGAACCUCUGGGCUCGGGCUGAGGGUCUUCGUGUCCAGCCUUGGAUAAGACACGGGGCCUUGUGCCUCGGCCUCCUCACCUCAGUGUCCCCUGUGCAGCAGCAGCUGUGACAGACCCGGCCCAGGGGGCUGUGAGGCUUCACAGGGGUGACCCUGCCCAGGUGCCCGGCCGAGGCCCAGGUACCGGCCUGUGGCUCUCACUGCCUGGUCCCUCCCCUGGGGAGGUGCAUGAGGCCAGUUCCCCCCGGGGUGAGGAGGCACACGGGCCUGGGUCCACUCCUGGUGCCCGGGGCUGGGCGGCGUCCUGGAAUGGUGGUCCACAGUGGGCUGGAGUGAGGGUCCCCGGCGUGAGAAUGACCACCCCGUCCAUCUCUUCCUGCUGAGCCCUCUGUGGUCACUGAGCGAUUGUCCCCCGGGCAGCUGGAAACGCAGCACACGCGCAGCAGCAGGAUCACGUCCUCGGUCCUGCAGGGGGACCUGGGAUCACACGAUUCCCGGGGGCUCACUGAGCCUGGCCACAGCCAGAGCUCUGGAGUGCCCGUGGCCUUCCCUGUGCGUGGUCUGGCCAUGCAGGUGGCACCUGAGGACACCACCUUGGAGAGGCACGUUUCCCACAGGACUUGGGAAGUUUCUAGGGACAUUAGCAAGGGAGGUGGCUCACAGCACCUCUGACAGCCCCCAGCAGGACCAACUGGGCCCCACUGCAGCACCUGGGUGUCACCUGUGUGAAUGUCCCAAGAGGCUAGCUUUGAGUUUGUGGUGGCUGUCGAGGUCCUGUGAUGUUCUGGGGCAGUCAGGGCAUUUUGGUCCCUGUGUUGUCUGGAUAGGCC